UGCCGGGGAUUCCCAUGAUGCAUUGAGUUUUUCCUUCCAGUCACCUUUCUUACUCACUAUGUGUUAAUAGACCUCUCUGCAUCGAAUCAUAUCUGUUAUUAAUCUCUGUCUCUCUUCCACAGCAUGUCUUUAUCCUGUUUUUCUUCUUUCACCCCAACUGGUCGCAGCAGAUGGCCCCGCCCCUCCCUGAGCCUAGUUCUGCCGGAGGUUUCUUCCUGUUAAAAGGGAGUUUUUCCUUCCCACUGUCGCCAAAGUGCUUGCUCAUAGGGGUCAUAUGAUUGUUGGGUUUUCUCUGUAUUUAUUAUUGUGCUAUCUACUGUACAAUAUAAAGCGCCUUGAGGAGACUUUUGUUGUGAUUUGGCGCUAUAUAAAUAAAAUUGAACUGAAUUGAAUUGAAUUGAAGUUCUUCGUACCUCGCUUACUACAUCCAAGAUCAAAUGACACAUCCAAGAUCAAAUCAUUGCGCUAACUUUGAGCUCGCUAAUCCGGUUCUCCGAACACACCUGUUGUUGACGAUUAGUAUAGCUGGAUGAAGUAAUCUGAGAUCACUGGGUGGCUUAAAAGGGGCUACGCAUCGAUAGUAGAAACAUUGAUCGGCAACCCUUUGAUUGGUCGGCGAAGAUGUCGAAGGAGCGCGCUCAGUAUUUUUCGGCAGCAGACCAAGAACUCUUGAUUGAGGGAUAUCAGGAGUUUCAGAGUUUAAUUAAAACGCAGGGGAACACUGCAAAGGCUGCAAAAGCAAGGAGAGAGGGCUGGCAGAAAGUUGCUGACAAAUUAAACUCGUAAGUAAUUAAUUAUAUUAUAUUACAUCAUAUCCUCUUUCACAUUAGAGCCACAACAGGACCCACUAGAACAUGGGAACAAGUAAAAGUGAAAUAUAAGAGUAUUCUACAGAAUGGUAAUAUUUAUCACUUAUAUUGCUUUUAGUCUCUUGAAAAGAGACCCUGAAAUAAUCUGUUUGUUUAUAACAGCAACCAAGAAAAGGGCAGAGCAAAUAAAGACAGGUGGUGGUCCUGCACCCCUCGUCACACCCGGCUGUUUGUACUGUGACAUUUAUUGACAUUGUGGGUUUUUUUGUGUGUAGUUUUACAUAACACUCCAUCACUUUUACCUGUUCCCAUGCAAGGGGUGACUGAAGCAUGCACAGUAAGUUGGGAGAUUUAGAUCGAUCGAUCUAUCUAUCUAUCUAUCUAUAUAUAUCUAUAUCUAUAUAUAUAUAUAUAUAUCUAUAGAGAGAGAGAGAGAGAGAGAGAGAGAGAGAGAUCUAGAUCUCUAGAUCUAGAUAUCUAUAUAUAUAGAGAGAGAGAGAUAGAGAUAGAUAGAGAGUGUUAAGUCAAUAAUACCCUCACGGGAAAAUCGAUAUCUCUCUAUGAGCACACUGUCGCGCUGAGCUAAAGGAUCCUGUCUAUCCCGCAAUAUCCGCUGAAUUCUGAAUACUCUCCUUAUCAGUCUUGCACCUUCCGCAAUGGGUUGCUCGCGUACAAACGGACAGGACAUGGCUGCGACAGUGUUAGAGUGAAUUGUUAAUGUUUGUCAUUUUUAUGCUUGCUAACUCUGAUGAUAGGGAUUCCACUGUCCUUCCCCCCAGAUUCUCGGGGUUCUGGGUAGGGGGCUGUAAUGUUUUAUUGUAGAUACAUCCUAUCUGAAAGAUCUGUUUGAUGUAAGCUUCCUGCCCAGCAGGAGGUCUCUCUUACACACACACACACACACACACACACACACACACACACACACUGCCUUGUCUUUGUAACCAAG
ensembl:lncRNA